AUCUAACUGGGUCUAUUUAAAUUAAUCUUGUUGUAAAAUGAUGAUCAAAUAAUUUCCACUAACUGCUGUGUUACAUGGCGAAAAAAUACGCGGACCAGCAAGCAGUCUCUGCGGGAUUUAUUUGCGCGCUUUCGACCGAACAGUAAGUCAUGACAUCUAAUCGCUUAAGUUUAAAACCUGUUCUCCUUACGAGGUACUGACAUGUUUGUCAGUGUCUGGUUAUACUUAGCGGCGAGGUCAACGCUUUUUAAGAAAAAUUGGGAACAUAAGUUCUUUGCUUUGGUCUCCAACUGAGAAGCACAAAGUAACCGUCUCCGAUGCGCCGAAAGCGGCGGACUGCGAGUGCGCCCCAGUCCGCCGCGAUGGCUGCGAGUCCAUUCAAAGAUGACACUUUUCCUACAGAAACUACACAAAAAAGACAGGUAAUCUCACUAAUCCCAAAACGGCUGUAUGGCGAAACCCAGCCUAAUCAAUGGGUGCGUGGGGCAGGUGUUUGAGAGAUCGCCGGCCAAGGAGGGGGAAUAUGGGACAAAGUCCAGAGAAGCUUCAUGAGGAAUCAGCUCCGAGAGGAUCUCUGGACAGGCAGUCGUCCAGAUUCCAGCGAAGGCACAUAAUCAUCCCACGGCGCGUGUAAUUAUGUGCGUGAUGUCAGCGGGCAGGCGGGGGGUGCAGGCGGGGGGUGCAGGCUGGGUGCAGGCCGGGUGGGCAUCAGACGCCUCCUGAGUUGCUUGCUGACUAGUUCAGGUUUGUAAUCAGGCAUCCGUUUGUGUCCGGCCCCUCCCCCACCAAGCGAGCCCCUUGCUCGGUACGGGGGUGUGUGUGUGUGCGUGGAGGGGGGAGUCCGGCCAGGCCCCGCCCACAUGAAGCCACAUGGAAGGCGGGGCCGGUUCAGGGCGGGCUGGGCAGUGCGUGAUGGGUCUGUGAGAUAAUGUGUACGUACUCUGGAGACUCCCAGACGUGGCCCUCUAACUACGGCCCUGCGGUCGCCUCCCGUUUGCUUUGCCCCGGCCCAAAAGAAAUUAAUUGCAGGUCCACUUGGAAAACGAGAUUAUUUCCAGGAGUUCCUGUGUGUAAUUUAAAUUAAUUCGUUGCGCAAAAAACCCUGAGAGUCAAUAGCCUGCCAUCAGGAGAUCCUGGUCACUGGUCUGAAAGCUCGGUGCGUCUGUUUUCUCGUGGGAGCUCCCACUGCACCUUGUGGGGUGACAUCACAACUUUGGCAGAUUCCAUUCGUAAUGAUUUGGUGCGAUUCUAUGAAAAACCUUCUAGUUAUUAUUUUUACAGUAUUAUAUCUGAAUUUUUUUUUGUUGCUUGUUUUAGUAUUGCUUAAUAUGUUAUUACUGUGUUAUUACCUCUUAGUGAUAUGCAGUGAGUUUCAUUGUCUCUAUCAUCUUUGUUGCUAUGUUGAUGUGAUGUACGACCCUUUAAUUCUGACAUAAAUAGUCAACAGCAUUGGAGAUUAGAUUUAUUUAAAAGUGUUGUUCUUUAUUUGCAAUUUAACGUUACUUUCCUGUGCUUCUGAGCCCUGUUCUUGUACGAAUUGUUCCAUUUACUUGGCAGACUCUCUUACCAUGCAGAUUUAUGUUUUGUCCAUUUAUGAAAUCCGUCACACUUCACCCAAGUUGGGGCUUUGUGCACAUUUCCAGCAGUGGGGGCCCCCUCCUGGAAUGUAGUCUGUCAGCCCUCGGGCCACACUUCCUUAACCGCCAUGCCACCUGCUGUACAUAUGGGGAAGUGUGGUGCAUUAAAUAGCCACAGCUCGCCCACACUCCUUCAGAUGCAGAAGGCCACCUCAGCCUUCACUGGGAUUUUCCCGGUGUAAUUUGCACGACUCUCUCAGUCACAGUCUUCUAAGUAUGGCUCAUCUGAUUUAAUAAAAUAUGCAUCCAUCCAGCUGAAGAAAUAUCCUGAUAUUUUCUUUAAAAUUUUCAUCGACCGCUGUGUAGUGUCUCUAACUGGAACAAAAUAUACUUGUGUGGUUCAGUGAAAACAAACUAACCAAAAAAAGCUUUAAUACGAAAAAUCUCUGUUUUCUCAACUUCUCAUAGUUGGUGUGACCCCCAGAGACACCCCCACCCAAGUGACACCACCCAACUUCCAGCCUGACAUGUUGUUCCAAGCCCUCGAAUGCUGCGAUGGAAGCACGAGGCGCCCUGUGAGUGACCAGGCUGAGACCCCCGUCCUGCCCUGGGGUCACAUCUCCGAGGCAGACAUGUUUAGAUUUUUCCUCCUAAAGAAAACAUUGUUCCAUCAUCCAGUCAUUUUCCCCUUUCCCCUGUCUGUCCUCACUCUGUGCCGUCACUUGCUGCCGAUGCCCUUCUCCAAUGCUUCGACUCUCCUGGGGUCUCUCUCUGUUCUCAGUCCGCUCCACCCUUUCUUUUACAGUGAACCUCUCAUUGUAGUCUGACACAAUGGCGGGUGGCAGAUAGCAUAUUACCGACUUACUGAAUUACAGUAGACGUUUUUUUUGGGUCCCUUUGGUGGGGCGAAGAGCAUGAACAGUAUAUGGGGGAGAUGAGACAAGAAUGAGACUUUGAUCUCGUUUUGGGAGAGUUGAGGGAAAGGGAACUAACUCGAGACAGAACAGCGGGAAACUAACUGUAAACUCUUUGGUAUGGGUGAGACAAGGGAACUAACGUUAAACUCUUUGGUAUGGGUUAGACAAGGGAACUAACUUUAAACUCUUUGUUACGGGUUAGACAAGGGAACUAACGUUAAACUCUUUGGUAUGGGUUAGACAAGGGAACUAACUUUAAACUCUUUGGUACGGGUUAGACAAGGGAACUAACGUUAAACUUUUUGGUACGGGUUAGACAAGGGAACUAACGUUAAACUUUUUGGUACGGGUUUGACAAGGGAACUAACGUUAAACUUUUUGGUACGGGUUAGACAAGGGAACUAACGUUAAACU